rnacentral:misc_RNA from 1 species
UAUAUAUAUAUAUAUAUAUAUUAUGUCUCUAAUUUUAUUUACGUUGCCCUAUAACUGAUAAGUAUUAUAAGGUCGUGAGGUUUCACUAAUGUGUUAUUAAUAUAAUAUAAAAAUCUAAAUCCAAUAAUAAUUCCUGGCCGUAUGUUUACUAAAAUAUUUAAUCUCCUGCACUAAUUGCUGCACUUGAUAAUUUACUUUUAUGUAUAAUUACUUUACUUUUCUAUAAUUUAUUCAACAAUCGUGAGAAUUUUUUUGUAAAUUGUUAUAUUGUUUUUAUAUAAUUAUAAAUAAAAUUUUCAUGAACAUAUAUAUAUUACACAUAUAUAUACAUACAUUUUUACCUUUUUACUAGUUGAAUUUUCCUCAAAAUCAAAAUAUUAAGUAUAUUAUUUAUUCAUAAAUUAUAUUACAUCACUUGUAUUGAACAUAAAAAUUUUUAUAUAUUUAUAAAAACAUAAUAUUCCUAAUUUCAAUCUACAUAAUUAUAUUGCUGAUAUCUAUUAUAUUUUUGUAUAAUUUAAAGUAAAAGUUAAGAAGUUAAAUUUUUAUAU